UCUUGAUUAACUUGGAGCAACUGCCAUUUGGUUACCAUGGUAACAGGGAUUUGAUUAGCCUGGGGCUAACAUACUUGUUUCUCACUACUUUCCUAUAGUCAUCUGGCUGUGCUCUGUCACACAUCCUUUG